rnacentral:tRNA from 1 species
CAGGCUAGCCUGCGGCUUUUACUAUGCAGGUCGAAAUGCACGCCUGACAGCAUGUGAACGACGCUCUCCUCG